AGUGAACGCUGGCGGUAGGCCUAACACAUGCAAGUCGAACGGCAGCACAGGAGAGCUUGCUCUCUGGGUGGCGAGUGGCGGACGGGUGAGGAAUACAUCGGAAUCUACUCUGUCGUGGGGGAUAACGUAGGGAAACUUACGCUAAUACCGCAUACGACCUACGGGUGAAAGCAGGGGAUCUUCAGACCUUGCGCGAUUGAAUGAGCCGAGGUCGGAUUAGCUAGUUGGCGGGGUAAAGGCCCACCAAGGCGACGAUCCGUAGCUGGUCUGAGAGGAUGAUCAGCCACACUGGAACUGAGACACGGUCCAGACUCCUUCGGGAGGCAGCAGUGGGGAAUAUUGGACAAUGGGCGCAAGCCUGAUCCAGCCAUACCGCGUGGGUGAAGAAGGCCUUCGGGUUGUAAAGCCCUUUUGUUGGAAAAGAAAUCCAGCUGGCUAAUAACCGGUUGGGAUGACGGUACCCAAAGAAUAAGCACCGGCUAACUUCGUGCCAGCCGCCGCCGUAA
rnacentral:rRNA from 1 species